rnacentral:rRNA from 1 species
UACGAGGGGGGCAAGCGUUGUUCGGAAUUAUUGGGCGUAAAGCGCGUGUAGGCGGCCCGGUAAGUCCGCUGUGAAAGUCGGGGGCUCAACCCUCGGAUGCCGGUGGAUACUGUCGGGCUCGAGUCCGGAAGAGGCGAGUGGAAUUCCUGGUGUAGCGGUGAAAUGCGCAGAUAUCAGGAGGAACACCAAUGGCGAAGGCAGCUCGCUGGGACGUGACUGACGCUGAGACGCGAAAGCGUGGGGAGCAAACAGG